AGUCGAACGAGAGAGAAGGAGCUUGCUUCUUCGAUCGAGUGGCGAACGGGUGAGUAACGCGUGAGGAACCUGCCUCAAAGAGGGGGACAACAGUUGGAAACGACUGCUAAUACCGCAUAAGCCCACGGGUCGGCAUCGACCUGAGGGAAAAGGAGUGAUCCGCUUUGAGAUGGCCUCGCGUCCGAUUAGCUAGUUGGUGAGGUAACGGCCCACCAAGGCGACGAUCGGUAGCCGGACUGAGAGGUUGAACGGCCACAUUGGGACUGAGACACGGCCCAGACUCCUACGGGAGGCAGCAGUGGGGAAUAUUGCACAAUGGGGGAAACCCUGAUGCAGCGACGCCGCGUGGAGGAAGAAAGUCUUCGGAUUGUAAACUCCUGUUGUUGAGGAAGAUAAUGACGGUACUCAACAAGGAAGUGACGGCUAACUACGUGCCAGCAGCCGCGGUAAAACGUAGGUCACAAGCGUUGUCCGGAAUUACUGGGUGUAAAGGGAGCGCAGGCGGGAAGACAAGUUGGAAGUGAAAUCUAUGGGCUCAACCCAUAAACUGCUUUCAAAACUGUUUUUCUUGAGUAGUGCAGAGGUAGGCGGAAUUCCCGGUGUAGCGGUGGAAUGCGUAGAUAUCGGGAGGAACACCAGUGGCGAAGGCGGCCUACUGGGCACCAACUGACGCUGAGGCUCGAAAGUGUGGGUAGCAAACAGGAUUAGAUACCC
rnacentral:rRNA from 1 species